rnacentral:rRNA from 1 species
GACGUAGGGCGCGAGCGUUGUCCGGAUUUAUUGGGCGUAAAGAGCUUGUAGGCGGUCUGUCGCGUCUGCUGUGAAAAUCCGGGGCUCAACCCCGGACUUGCAGUGGGUACGGGCAGACUAGAGUGUGGUAGGGGAGACUGGAAUUCCUGGUGUAGCGGUGGAAUGCGCAGAUAUCAGGAGGAACACCGAUGGCGAAGGCAGGUCUCUGGGCCACUACUGACGCUGAGAAGCGAAAGCAUGGGGAGCGAACAGG